CGUUAAUCCUUCGAGAGCGUCUUCGUCGGUGAUUUUUUCAAUUUUCUUGUAGAUAGUAAUAUUUGUGAUAAACUCUUCCACUUUAUUAUGAUUUCUUUCUCCGUCGUACCUUUUUGUGCAACGAGCGAAACUGCUUUUGUGUUGGCUACCUUCGUUUGUAAUUGACAACUUGUUAAUGAGUGUCGUGAAUUGCUCCUGCGUCAUAACCAUCAAUUCAGGUUUUUCUUCUGACAUUUUGUGUGGGUAGAUUACAAUUCUUCCAAAUCCAAUUUAUUGAGGGUAGAUCCUUGGUAGAUUUUUUUUUUGCCGUUGGGCGCCAAUAUGAUGUUGCCAGAUGAAUUAAAAUAACUGAUGUCUGAGUAAACAGGAACUUUAUUCGUUCAUGUAACAAAUUAUACAAAACACACGGAUAUGUAGAUAUGAAGGUAAACGUACAAUUCCUAAGGGUGGUUCUUGGAACGGGCUGCGGGGCUACCGCGUUCCUUAACCUCCUAGCUGAUGCUUUUUCUGAGGGCUGCGGGGCUACCGCUCAGAUUAAACUUGGGCAGACGAGUGGACUGCGGGGCUAUCGCACUCGUUGCCGUCUAGCUAUCGAAUGUGAUAACUGGCGUGCUGCGGCCUCUUAAAUAGCGAUCGUUGACGUCGUAGUGGGGUGGCGAUGCGUAGAUUACUCGUGGUUAUCGUUGUGUGAGUGAGCGCGUCACAGUGCAGCGUUGUAGGUAAAAUGUAGCAUUGCUAUAGACCACAAAUAAAUUUGUGGUCUUAUUUCAAAUUAGUAUGGUCCAAUCAUAGCCAACACUAAGACGUCAAAACGCUGCAAUGCGCGUUCAAAAACUGAGUAAAAAACCACCGUAACACCAAGGUUUUGGAAGGAAUAUCUUUUUUUGAUUUCCUAGUAGCCCCUUGUCGCUGUGCACAAUGGAUAUAUAUUGUCGCGAAAGAAAGAGAAGAAAUAUAGAACCCUUAUAAAAAUUCUAGAAUUGUUCAAUGGUGGUGGCAAAUCAAUGCAAAAAAGUAUUAAAAAAACUUUAUAUGUAUGUGUAAAUAUUUUAAGCGUAUAUGCUGAAAAGGAUUUGUUUUCUGGGGGAAACGAACACAGCCAUAAAAUAAGCCUAAAUUAAACUGAUUAUAGAAAAAUUCAUUGAUAUAAGAUUACAUUAUAUUUGUAAAAAAGAAACCGCUCAUAUAAAAAUGACUUCUAAAAGACAGCUUUAUAACAAACUGAAUCUGUUUAAAGGUAAUUAAACCUACAUUAUUGUUUUAAUUACUUCUGUAUAAAGAAUACGUGGAAAACAUGUUUCGUGUUUCCUUUCAUAUUUUUUUUACUUUAUUCAAUUUUAUUUUUUAUCACCUAUUUGUUGUAAUAGCGGCAAUGUAAAAUAUUAUCUACUACUUUUUCAAUCGGUCAAAAAUAGUUGCGACCAUACAAAACAAACCUAAAACAAAUAUGUAUAUUCUGCAACUCUAUGUCUUUCAAUACUUACUGUGUUCUGAGCAUUGAAAUGUAAUACCAAGAACUACAUCUAGUUCCACAAUACAAUAAGCACGAAAUUUUAAACAAAUAUUUUUAACCUUAUAAAUUAGGCUUUAAGUAUCAUUUUAGAAUAAAUAUUUUUGUACUGAUGACUUUUUAUGUUCAAGUGACAUUUUAAAUUUAUUCCAUAAUAUUCUUUUUCUGACGAAAGGACCUAAAUACAUAUAUUUUGCAAUGGUAAUUAAACUUUAUGUUUAAGUAUUAAGGUUUAUAAUAAACUGAAGUCGUUAACAUUAUUAAACUUUUUUCUAAGAAAUGAAGAUGUUUUCGUGUCUGCAAACGUGGCCACUGGAGCGUCUUAUUUUUGUUCCUGAUCCUUAAUCUAGUACUAUUAUUGAUCGAAGCAUUAGACGAACCUAAUCUACAUAAUAAUGUAUAAGUCCUCUAUUUGUGACAAAAAAGAUCUGGUUGUUAAUGUAGUAUUUGUACUGAGAAGGCGGCCUAGACAGUAAAGUUAUGUGGCUAAGGUUAAUUAGGCUAAGGUUAACCGUUAAGGUGAACCACUUUAUUUUUCCUGUGAAUUUUAUUAUUAGAAAAUAAUAAGCAUAAGCCGCUAUCAAAUAAAAAAUAAAUAAAUAAUAGUUUAAAAUAACUAACAAAAUACAAUUUUUACAUAUAUUUUUUUUAUAUUGAAUUGUCAUCUGUCCUUAAUAAGUCAUGCUCAAAAUCAUGUUCAAAGUUUCCGUUACAAACAUACAUACGUCUGAAGCUAAUAAAAUUCUGUAUUAAAAAUAUAGCUUGCCAUAUUCAACAUUGUUAUGACCUAAUUACAUCAGCCAAAUGUAGGUGUGUAAACCUUAAUAUUUUCGGUAAAGUAUUCUUGUUAGUUGGACACUCUUGUCAGAGUAGACGUGGUUACGCUGAUGAUGUACAUGCAGAAGCAAUCGUUAGGUUUCCAAUUAUUUCGAAGAUUGUCCUCCGGGCGAUAUGCGUCUACAUCUGGCGGCUCGAAGCAUUUCGAGUACACUGGACCAUGGUGAACAAACUCAGUUCCUUUGUUUAUUAGUUCAUUCCAGCUGGUUGAUGAUUUGCAGCGUGAUUUUUUGCUUUCCAACUGACCUUGAACUACUAGUCCCUCCAUCGAGUUCUCUUUUAUGGAGACGUGACCAAAGAAUUUUAAAAUUCGUAAUGGCGCAGUUGACAACGGUAUCUUGCCACUCUUGUCAAACAUAACUCCGCAUUAAGGUGCUAUUCUGAUCACAGAUGGCGACGGCAUGUACCUAAGCGGUAGACGGCAGUGGACUGUAUUAAUUUGUAUGAGACUUAUUCCGACACGUGACUAUAACUUCCUCUCGACAUGUCGUCAUUCUUUUGAUGCGUAGCGGCAGACUGAAUGGAAUUCCCGCGCAAAUACAGUACUGCCAUUGAACUUCGACAUUACGGACGUGUUAAGAGAGUGAUUUUUAUGAAAUAAUUUUGUGUCGUUCAGGUGUAUUUUUAUCUAACUUUAUUUAUUUUACUUCAUUAUAUAGUUGCAUUUGAUUUUUGUUUAUGCCUUGGGUGUAGUUCUGCAUGUGUAUUGUUGUUUGCUAGCUUCAGAUUCAGAGAAAAAUAACAAAGAACACGGCAGGUUCCAUUAAAUUAAGUAAUAAAGUUUUAUUAUAAUUCGUAAUUUUAGUCAUAGUAGUCUUUUCUAUAAACUUCUUCUUAUUGUCCUUAUCCUACAUUAUGCGGGGCCAGUUCAGUAUUAUCGAUUAAUUUAUAAUCUUAAUGUUAUGGACUUAAAAAGGAAAAAUGAUUAAUAAAAUAUGUAAGUUUGUUUACCUACAUCUAAUUAAUCUGCAAAAAAAUCUUUUAAAUUUUUAAAACACUAAUUAAUCGUCAUCGAAUAAACAAUUAUAAGUUUUUUCAAUUAAAAACUCAAAAUUGUUUUAUUUAAAUCAUUACCAAAGGUAACGUUGUUUAUGCGAGAAAAAGUCGAGAACGUCGAUGAAAAAAAAUCUAAUGCAGCGAAAUUUAUGGAGAAAUCGAGUAACCUAUAAAAAUAUUAGAAUAACAACAACACAAUUUUCUAUGACGAUAAGGCGCACAAUUAAGAUGAAAAAUACAUUUUGAACGGAGAGCCUCGCAUGCUUCGUUGCCAUUAUACUAGAAUAAAAAUUUAGUGUUAUUAGAAAGCAAUAAAAGAAGACAAAUAAUAACUCUUAAACUACUUACUUUUUACAGUAUAAAACAAGAACAUUUUAUGACAAUAAUAGAUAGUAAAAAGUGAUUUUUGUAAUUAAAAAUUUGAUUGAAAUAAAUACAAUUUUUUUUUAUCAAUCCUGGAAUACGUAGAAUAAUCAGGAUGUUUUCGUAAACUCAGAAUGAAAAUUUCAAACGUGUUAAUUAACUAUUGUUUAUUGGACUCUGUCUACUAUACACCCACACAUCAAUUAAAUAUUGGCCCUAUUGGCCAUCAGCAACGCUCGUAGCCAAGGAGGCUAUUUCAGCUACUGGUAGGUGAGCUCACGGACUCAACCUGAGAGAAUUUGCUAACACUAGCCCUAGCAAGCAGUUCUUCGCAAAAUCUACCACCGUAUCGGAAUCGCGGCCCAUUGAGAAGAUCCAACGAGAAACUCGUGUUGCCUAAGGGUUAGUUCGACGAGGAUGAUGACUGUUGCUUGAGGGGCCUAAGAGUACCACGAGUGUAUCCGGGGGAUCCGAUAAGGCAAGUUUCAGCCGACGGCCGCUUAGGUCGGCUAAGGCCUUUGCACAAGGGGAAACAUACAUUUAAAAAAAAAGCACGUUUUCUUUGUUACAAUAUUUAAUGUCAAUACUAAGUCCACUCGUGUUGCUAUAUCUAAGUUUUGGAUUUUUUUAUGACCAGAUGCCUGCCUGUCGUCAACCCCCCUUGGGAAUGGUUUUGUUGGCCUUGAGCCUAGGUUGCAUUGGCUUUGGUCAGGCUUUGGCUCUUAGUCAUCUUCUACGACACCCAUGAACUAAAUUUGGGUUGGUAGUAUUCUUAGGCGCCCACCGACAAGCACGCGCCGACCCCAGGUGACUGGGAGAAGGGCAGGAGAAUGAUGCUGACUAGUUCCACUCGUGGACAAAGACCUAGUUUUACUUUUAUUAUUAUUUUUAUUUUUUCUAACGUUUCAAAUACUUUACAGGUUUCGCGGUUACGAACUAGUAAUUAGAUAAUUGUUAAUUAUAUAGUUAAUCUUAUACCUUUAAACGAGCAAUUCUUGUAUAUAUAUUAAUAUAUAUAUAAUCUAAAUCUCGGAAACAGCUCCCAACGAUUUUCAUAAAAUUUAGUAUACAGGGGAUUUUGGGGGCGAUAAAUCGAUCUAGCUACGACUUACUUACGAAUUGAGGGCAACUAACCGCUUUAAAGACACAACAAGAUGGCGUUAUCAAAAAAAAAACCGAGCAAACCUCUCUAGUGUUAGUAAUACAUCAACAUUUGAAUAAUGUACUAAUUAAAACCUAAAUUUGUAUAAAAUAUUUUUUUGCCGAUGUUUCUUAGUACGCAGAAAGAACUAACAUUAUUUUAAUAACUUAUCUGAUUCAAUAAAUAAAUUUGGACAGUUAUUGGACCGCAAUCUUUUUUGUAAUGCAUUUGGGACUACCCCCGUAGUCGAGAUAACACUGACGCUACUCUGUUAUAUGGAAAAUAAUAUGAAACGCAUCCACUUGUUCACUUACGAACAUAUGCGUUAAAUGCAAAAGCGUUAUUAAAUUUUAUACGGUAAGGACAUCAUAAUCGCAUGCGUCUGACUAACUACACUAGAAGCUGAACGAAUAGAAAUAUUGUCACUUAGAUUUAAAUGAGCGAAGGCAAAGUAGUAGUAGGCAGCGGCUUGGCUCUGCUCCUGGCAUUGCUGAAGUCCAUGGACGACGGUAUACCACUUACCAUCAGGUGGGCCGUACGCUCGUCUGCCUACAAAGGCAAUAAACGAGAUUUUAAAAAUAAUGAAUACAUCAGUCGACGCUUGAAAAGCAAACGUGACUAAGCGACGAUGCGUGAACUUUACAGUAGACUAAUUUAAAGUUGAAAUACCUGAAAAAAAUUAUAUUUUAACGAAUCUAGCUGUAGGAUUGAAAUGAUUUUAAUACAUCUAGAAAUAUAUAUUUUUUUGCGCUUCGAAUAUGGUUAUUGCCUAUCAUUUAUGAGCAAAGCAGUCAUUGUCACUUAGUCACGUUUGCCUUUCAAGCGUCGAUUCUGAUAAAAUUAUAAACUGCAGCUUGUAAAUUAAAAUUUGAGUUACUAGUAAUUUUAGAACAAUCAAUAUUGCAACAAUUUGAUGGCUCAUAUAGUGUUCAAAAUUAUGCACAUAUUUUAUUUCUGCGUUACAACAUCGAGAUGUUUGAAAUAUCAUGUUCGACAAUAAACGAAACACUCAUAAAAAUACAAGCUUAUUAGAUAACUAAUUGGUGUACAAUGUACAGCAUAUCGACCUUGUUCACUACGUUCGCAAUGCCAAAACCGUCGUACGUAUUAUAUCACAAACGAAAUAAGAAUGUUCUUAAAGCUUGAUUAUCUGUUACUUAGUUGUGCUUUUUGACUGUUUUUUUUAAAAUGUAAAUUGUGUUGGUGUGCAAUAAAGUGUAUUCUCUCUCUCUCUCUCUUACGCCCGGUUCCAAUAUCCAAAAAACGAAUCGUUUUAUAUUACGAUCCGUUACAAUAUCUACGAAUCGUAGGACAAAAUAGUUCCUAUAAAAACGACUCGUUUUUAAAAUUACUGAUGACUUGCUACUAACGGAUGGGAGGGCUAACAUAACGGUUCGUACUGCGUUUUGUAUGGAGACUGUUGUCUGUAGUGUUCCUAUAUUAUUUUAGAAAUGUCAGUGAGCUGUCACAACUACGACGCGUAGAGCAUUUUUUAACCUACCGAUUUUGUUCGGUUGUGCUUUGGAAUUUUUGUGUUUGUGUUUUUUCUUUUAAAAUGUCGAGUUCAGAAAGUGAUAACGAAGUUUUAAUGUUACUGAAUUCAAGCGACGAUUCAAGUGAUGAUACGCGAAGUAAUAGAGUGUAUAAAACAAGAAUCAAUUAUUAUUCAGAGCUCGAUAAUCAGGAGUUUCAACUAAGAUUUCGGCUCGACAAGCAGUCUGUGCAAUUACUGUUAGGUGAAAUUUAUCCUUUUUUAAAGGUAAAAGGAACCAGGCUCGUAUUUUUAAUGCCAGCUGUUAAUUGGUAUUUUAUGAAGUAGUUAACUAUUUAACAAGUGAUUACAUGAAAAUAGUAUUUACUAGUUUAUUUUAAUUCUAUGAAUCAUGGAAUAUCUCCCUUACAUUACAAUUUAUCAGUUUUUUUUGGUAUUUUGGCGCGGUCCGGCCGACAUCUGGCGUUUCCUUUGUCUCUUCAUGGCGUUUUGUUCACUUUACAGUUAAAACUAAAGUAACUGUUUUUAAAUUGUGAAUGUUCAAAUAAAAUUACAUAUGUGAUGAAUUACAAUUAAUUUAUAUUAUUUUAAAAUAUUUAUGUAAAAAUACUAAUAAAAACUUAUGUAUUUUGAAAA